rnacentral:sRNA from 1 species
UCAACCUGCUGUGGACAAAUCCAGUGAAUAUGUGUAUCAACACCACCUGCCGUUAAAAUUUGCCCUUCUCCAGCAAUUACUUCAGUUGCAGCACCCAAUGGAAUUGUGAUAUUGGGUUGAAUAUCAGGAUUUCCAGCUUUACCAAUUUUCCAAAUUCUCCCAUUUUUCACCCCAACAUCGGCUUUAAUAAUUCCCCACCAAUCAACAAUUAACGCAUUGGUAAUUACUGUAUCUGCUACUUCAUCUGCAAGUAAUUGUGACUGUCCCAUUCCAUCACGAAUGA